UUAAAUUGAAGAGUUUGAUCAUGGCUCAGAUUGAACGCUGGCGGCAGGCCUAACACAUGCAAGUCGAACGGUAACAGGAAGCAGCUUGCUGCUUUGCUGACGAGUGGCGGACGGGUGAG
rnacentral:rRNA from 8 species